GUGGGGAAUAUUGGACAAUGGGCGAAAGCCUGAUCCAGCCAUGCCGCGUGUGUGAAGAAGGUCUUCGGAUUGUAAAGCACUUUAAGUUGGGAGGAAGGGCAGUAAGUUAAUACCUUGCUGUUUUGACGUUACCGACAGAAUAAGCACCGGCUAACUUCGUGCCAGCAGCCGCGGUAAUACGAAGGGUGCAAGCGUUAAUCGGAAUUACUGGGCGUAAAGCGCGCGUAGGUGGUUUUGUAAGUUGGAGGUGAAAUCCCCGGGCUCAACCUGGGAACUGCCUCCAAAACUGCAUGUCUAGAGUACGGUAGAGGGUAGUGGAAUUUCCUGUGUAGCGGUGAAAUGCGUAGAUAUAGGAAGGAACACCAGUGGCGAAGGCGACUACCUGGACUGAUACUGACACUGAGGUGCGAAAGCGUGGGGAGCAAACAGGAUUAGAAACCCGAGUAGUCC
rnacentral:rRNA from 1 species